CAGGACGAACGCUGGCGGCGUAGCUUAACACAUGCAAGUCGAACGAUGAACCAGGGCUUGCCCUGGGAAUUAGUGGCGAACGGGUGAGUAACACGUGGGCAACCUGCCCCAGACACCGGGAUAACCAUCCGAAAGGAUGGCUAAUACCGGAUAUGACCACUUUGGGCAUCCAACGGUGGUGGAAAGGAUUCUGGUCUGGGAUGGGCCCGCGGCCUAUCAGCUAGUUGGUGGGGUAAUGGCCUACCAAGGCGACGACGGGUAGCCGGCCUGAGAGGGCGACCGGCCACACUGGGACUGAGACACGGCCCAGACUCCUACGGGAGGCAGCAGUGGGGAAUAUUGCGCAAUGGGCGAAAGCCUGGCGCAGCGACGCCGCGUGAGGGACGAAGGUCUUCGGAUUGUAAACCUCUUUCAGCAGGGACGAAGCGAAAGUGACUGUACCUGCAGAAGAAGCACCGGCUAACUACGUG
rnacentral:rRNA from 1 species